CUCAGUGUGAGUCCCAAAUUACAGUGAAUGGGCUAAAGUUCCUCACUGUCUGGUUCUGCUCCACUGUGGAAAAACAUGUAUGUAUUUCUUAAUGCUGAUAGCUCAGAAGGAGAAAAUGUCCUUUAUGAAAUUCAUCACACGGUCCAUUUCUGGUCCUCAUAAAACACUCGGGGCCAUGGUUUUACACCACUGCAAAUGUACCUGCACUCUGUGCAGAUGUACCCUGUCCUGAGCCACCUGCUUUGUGACCUGUAUGUAUGCUGAGUUCUCCCCGUUUGAUCUGGAAGUGCAUGGUCUUUUAUGUCUUCCUAGAUCAAUUCGAAAUUAAGUCCUCAGGGAACAUUAUUCUUCAGCCAUAACAAUGGUCAUUGCCUGGCAGAUUAUUUUAUCUCCUCUAAUACCCUACUUGGCUUUCUAUGCAUGGUAAUAGUUCAUCAGGUUAUGCAAUUCCAAGAGGGGUUAAUGGAUCCAUUGUGAUAAGUUAUCUCUGCAGUUCUUGAAAUCAACAGGUGUGCACUAGUUUGCAUUUGGGGAAAGGUUAGUUGCUGCUAGGGCUGGGAACCUUCUUGGAGAAUACUCUACCACGAGACCCUUUUAGUGUAACUGGUUAGCUACUUCAAGGGUCUCCUAAGAAGAUGUAAAAAUUGCCACUUCCACCUUUAGGAACAUUCCAAGAACUUCAGGACUAAAUGCAAGCCAACUUGAUCCCAGCCCAAAAAUUUCUAGAUAGUUAGGAUGUCCUGCAGGACAAAGGUAGGAUGCUGUGGUGUGUGUAAAAUGCUCCUUGGAAAGUGGACUGUAUGUGAUGGAGGUUUUCUGAGAGCCUGUGCUUUACCUGGACAACACAGUGCAAAGAGCUCCCUGUAGGGUGGCUGGGUUCCAUCUCAAAGGGGGAAGCUGAAGCAAACUGCAGCCUGGCUGUAGUUCCUGUGAGCAGGCUCUUCCUGCUAGACCCUGUCCUCUUGCUGCAAGCUGUGGGUACCUGCAGGUGCAGGUAUUUACCUGUGACAUGGAGGAAGAAAACCAGGGAUCACCCCCAUGCCUCCCUGUUGUUCCCAUGUAACUUAUUACCAUUUUCUGCAGGAGAAGCUCCAAUCUCCUCUCUCCAUGCCAACCAUGCUUUAAGCACGCCCUGUAGGAGGACAAGUCGUUGCCAGCUGCACGUCUGAGCUGUAGCCAUCAUUCUAUUGUAUUUUCAACAGAGGAGCAAACACAUGGAGAGAGAUGGAAAUGGGGGGAGUAGAGAAGAGUCUGAUGUGGCAGAGGAUGUUCAGAGACCUCCUUAUUUGCUGUCCCAUACUAGCAUUCCAUGAAGAGGCUCUGCUGCCCAGCAGCUGAUUCCUAUCCCUUAGCUUCUAUGCUCCAAGUCCACUCCACAACCUGUUUUUCUGUAACUCCUCCCAAUCCAGCAUCUUGUGAGGAGUUUUAAGGCACAGUUUGCUCAUUUGCUUCGGGCUUGGAGCACAUCCAGUUUGCUCACGUGCUCUGGCAAGAGAGCAACGCGUGCCCCGAGCUGCGCGUGAUCCCGAGCUAAGCAAAGCACGGCUGUGUCUGCGGUGCCCGUCCCGGGGAGAAGAGCAAGUGCAAGGAGGCUCUCUGGCAGGAGUACACGAGCCUGAUAUGUGAUAGCCUUCAGUGACAACUGUGAAAGAAGGUUUGAUGGACUUGCCAUAGCUCACAGAACAGAGAGCUCAGGCAGGAGAAGGGCUUGUGCUUCUAGGAACAGGCAGGCAAAGAUGUCCAUCACCUGUGGGGCAAGCCAGCCAUCCCAGGCACUCUUGCCCUGCUAUGAGCCCCCAGCACUCAUCAGGGUAACAGGCAAAAGUCACCUCACUUCCAGCUUCACUGCUAGACUGGUCCUUACAAAACUAGCCAGUGUGCUUGCCUGAGAAACUGGAGAAAGGCAGAGGGUUUUACAAGUCCUUGCCUCCAACCCUGCAUCUUAACUGACAGCAAAUAGUCUGAACACCUUUAACACAUGAGACUUUUAAAGUCCCAUAGCUGCUCUAGCUCCCUACCCUACUGUUUCAGUGCCUUUGCAGAUUUUAUAUUAAACCCCAGAAAACAGAUAGGGAAAUGCAUUUUUUUCCCCCUUUACAUCUGAGUUACUAAUUCAAAAAAACCUUAUUUCAUCGGAGCUAGAAAUAAAUACUAGCAGGUUUUUGGUUGAUAAUGAGUAUCCUUUAAAGAACAAAGGAAGCUGAAUAAUGGAGCCUGGAGCCUGUCACAUGCAAUACUUGUUAGUAAUAAUUUCUGUUAGCUGUUCAGGGAAGCGCAUUUCUCAAUUUCAGAGCUUAAAUGACUUAACCAGACUUUUUACGAGGACGCGGUAUCUAGCAACCCUGACUGCAAAACAAUGCAAGUUUCUAGAGGCAAAGCAUUGGCUGCUGGUUGUUGUUGAUCAGUAACAAUUCAGGAGCUUUUAUAAAAUGCAGAUGUGAUCUCAGUUCUUUCUCUAGGAAACAAAAACAAUGAAGUUUCAGCCUGGCCUGACUAGCAAGUAAUGCGUGCUGCCAUCCUAUCAACACAAGUUUGCCUUCUCUCUUAAAUCCCACAAAAACACCUUCAGAAGCAACUGAGGAAAAGUGGGUCAGACAUCUGAGGAUUCUUGCUGUUAAAAACUUGCAGAAAUCUCAGAUUAUCACAAUAAUCAUCACAAUGUACUUCUCGAGGACACCUGAUGAGAUGAGCGGUACCUUACACUGCCUGCGUGACUUCUUCACUUAGUGACCAAGGGAUUCCUCAUAUGGAAGCAUUUGUGAUCUUUUCCCUUUGCUGAUGUUUGUUGCACAAUGAGGCUGAUCACUGCCAGGACAACAGCCUGGGCUUUGUUGGGCAGUGUGAUGUAAUGGGCAUUCUUAGUAGUUUUUAUGCAAGCACCUUUUUUUCCCUAGCUGCUGCUGGUGCGUGUAAACUACUUGGCAAACAAUGAAACACUAAAGUGAUGUGUUCUCUUUUUAUUUCAGUAACUUUUAUGUCUGCUAAGGAUUAGUUCUUGGUAAGUUCUUCUUUGAAAGAUUACUUUCAAACUUUCAAGACUUACAGCUUGGCAGUGAUGGGAAUAUGACAUAUGUACACUUUUUAGUGAAACUCUUCACUGUAAGUCCUGCAAAGCAGUAUCUGUCCUCCAAAGACCUCAUCUGGCCUGACUUUUCCAGCACCGAUACAGCACUUCUGCUGGAUCCCUAAGGACAGCAUGAGGACAGGGAGAAAAUGUGCCUACCACUUGUGCCUGUGGAGAGAUUUAGGAAAAUACUUGAUGGCUGGGUCACUUAUCCCUUCUGCUUCCUAUAAAUGCUCUGUGGCUGCAACUGCGAUAAAAGGGAAAUUCCUAAGUAUCCUUGAUGCUGUUCCACUGCUUCUAGUAGCAUUGGACAAGUGAAGCCACUGCAAGCCUUUGAUCGCCCCUGGGGUACAGGAGGAAUGCCAGCAGCUGCUCUAGAUUAUGCUCCCACCACUCCCGUGGCUGUGGAGAUGUGCUCACACUGCACUGAGGCACAGGGGCUUCCCCAGAGGCCAGCCUCAGUGGCCAUCUCGGUCCACCCCUGUCCCCAUGCCACCUUGGGACAGGUGCAGAGCCCCGGGCUGUGGCAUCCCCUGGAAUGCCACUGCCACAACCCAUGUGCUGGGUGCUGUGGGAUGCUCCUCCAGGGCGGGUGGCUGUACAAAGAGUGAGAGCCUGCUCAGCAGUUUAACCCCCUCUGGUUUAGGUUGUAGUCACUGAGUGAGGCUGUGGUGGAUGCUGUACUAGAAGCAGUAGCCACACAGAGAGUAGAGGAAGCAAAACCUCACAACAUGAGAGCCAAAUUAGCCAGGCUAUUUAUACAUCUGUGGCACAGCACUAGAAGUACAACCCCCAAUGUGCCCUUUUUCCUUUUGGUGUCCAGUUCAGGAGCUGAGUUGCUCCAUUAGCACCCAGGGAGUGCUACUUAUGAGCUGAAAAUCCCUGUGGAGGAUGACGAGCUCCUUUGGAGGAUCAGAAACUGCUGGGAAAGGGAAAGAGAUGCUCAGUUUGAAAAGUAAUCCUCCUAAUCCUUCGGAAAGGUAAUCCUCUAGUCUUUACCAGUGUCAUUUACGUAGGCACUGCCUCAUGAGCUUCCUCUCUUUUGGGCGCUGUCUUCAUGCUCGAGUUUGGUGUUAGCAGGGCUUGCAUCAAAUUGAGCCAGAAGCCAGUUUAUUUCCUCCCCUGACACUCUGUUUACUGAUUCAUCACUUUCUUCUAGCAGCAGUGUCUCAGUUUUUGCUCCUGACUGUCUCUGCUCUGGCACAUGCCCGACCUGGGAGCUGGUGAGUGCUGCCUCUCAGAUCCCCAGCCAAAGGUCAGUAGCUGCAUGGUGGCCUCUGGAUUCCUCAGAUACCAACCCUUGUCAUGUGGGGAGGCAUUAACCUUUGGCCCCGAGUAAGUGUCCUCAUAUCUCACCUCUGUUAGUCUAGCCUGCUAUUUGAUCCUGUCUAAUACAAAGCCCUUUCCUUUGGCAUCCUGAAAAUGUAAGCCCUGUCUUGAUGAUUUCCAGCACACCAUCCACCUGAUACUGGUGGGAGAUACCCUCUGUGUUGCAUCCAGGGCUGAGUAAGCAGUGGAAGUAGAGGCAGCUCGAGAAGAGCUGAUUGUGUGUUCGCAGCCCCUCCUGCCUCCCAAGGGAGCAGUGGUGGUGGCUCCCUCUGUGUAACCUCUCUUCUUCACCCAGAACAGGGAUAGCUACUCUGGAAGGAUACUGCCUGUAUCACGCAACAAAGAUGUUUCAAGAGUUUGAGGUUUGUGGGUUUUUUAACUCCUGAUUCGGGGGGAGGGACUCACUGAGAGUCCCUUACUUUGAAUCAGGCUCUUGGGACAGAGUUAGACUCAUCUCUAGAUCUUAGCAUGCUCCAAAAAUGUGAGAUUUCUCUUGUGUCCUUUUAAUGCAGAACUUGGUCAGGGGUUCACCUCAGUGCACCACCACUAUUCCUGCCAACUCCCACGUUUACUUGAUAUGUAACCUCACACAUCUCCCUUGGGCCCAUCUCAGGGCUGUACAGGAGUUCUUAGUUCAGCUCUGAUGAAUGAUCAUUUUACAUCUGUGCACUGGACAAACAGCUGUUUUCCGUGUUACCUGCUUUAGGAGCCUCACUGGCAUGUUGUUUCUUUCCUUGCCUCCAGCAACAAGCAGACACAAGUGACCAAUUGCAACAGGGCUGCACCAGCAUCUCCUUGCAGUCGGGACAGUGUGAAAAAUGCACAUCAUUUUUACACAGCACACCAUAUGUCAAAUGGCUGCAAGAUAAAAUAGCAGGGAGUGGGCACUGGCAGUCUCUAUUCCAUAUCUUUUGCUAUUCAAAAGGGUGAAAGCAACACAGGCUUGGAGAUGAGAGUCCCAAAGUGGCCAAUCCCCUUUGGUCACAACACUUCCAGCUGCAAGGCCCUUCUGGGGAAGCUCUUCCUUUGAGGUACAUCUCACCUGGGCAGGAGCCAACAUCAUGAGGAGGAAAUUAUUAGCUUGUAAAGAGAACCCCACAGGUAAAGUCUGACCUCCUGCUGGUUUCUUUUCUUGCAGGUAUUUCCCGUGGAUGCUUUAAAAACAGAUGGUAUUGUGGGUUUUGCUGGUGCCACUUGCUAGUGGGCAAUGCUCUGUGUCCAAAGGAACAGAAAUUUAGAAGAGUAGGCUUUAAAACAUCCCAUUGAUGCUUUUUAGCCUACCUGCAUUCUUUUUCAUGUGUGCCAGAGUGCUUUAAAAAGCCAGAUAAGCUCAUCUUUGCGUGGGUUAGUCCUUGUCCUGGAGCUGGCAGCCCAGGAGGAGGACAGUGUUGGUGGGAGCAGAGUGGUGCUGCCAAAGGAUGUGAACCCCACUUGAGCGCCUGUGCUUUAUGAGCAGAAUUUUUGUCAGGGCUGGCGGGAUUUACAGCUGUGUUCAACUCUUCAUUCCACAUUUCAUUCCAAGAUGCUGCAAGCAGACCACAGGGCAGGCUUUUCCUCUCAGUAGGCUCUCAAUUUGCAGUGGCCAUUUCUUUUGUCUGCUUUGCAGACUAAAAAAAACUUUUUUUCAUCUUCUGCCUUUCUUUUCCCAAAUUGCCACUGAACUGCUGAUGUUCAUAUGUACAUUGGCAGAUCGAGAAAUCUCCUGAUGUAUGGUGAAACAUCAUAUUCUGCCAAGCUCUACCAGCCUAUCACUUCCAUACCACCUUCCAUACCACCUUGCCUUUGGAACUUCAUCGUUAGGUUUACUCAAGCUUGUGCCCAAAUAUCUACCUUUUAUGAAAGUCCCAUCCUUCUACCCUACCAGUUUUCCAUGCCUUCUGUCAUCUUGUACAAUGAGGCAACAUGAUGUUAACCUCCUCUCUCCGAGGCAUUGUGUAGCAUCUCUGCAAAUCAAAUGGUGGUGAUCCAGUUUGGGAUUAGGAAAUAGAAAGAAGUGAACAAUUCCUUGUUUACAUAAGACUGGGAAAACUCUUGGGGCAGAGCUGGGGCUAGAACACAGAAUAAAUCAUGGGACUGUCUGUCAUAACAAGAAAGGGGAGCUUGCAGCAACUUCUUUUUCUGAGAUGAUUUGUUAAAUCUCCUGUAAUUGGUUUAGUAAACACUAAUAGAUAGGAAACAAAACAAAAUGUUCUCUUCCAGCUUUCUUAGGCUGCAUGGUAUCUCUCACAGCCAUAUGGGAUUAAUGGUGGCUGUAGGGUAGGAUUGUGUCAUAAAACUUUUAUUAAAUGUUUUAAAGCCAAUUAAAGAGACAUUGCCAGUUUGAGCUUUCUAAGAUUUUACAAAGUAAAUUUUUUCCAUUGUAGUCAAAGGGCCUUUGAAGUGCUAGAUCCUGAAAUUUUUAACCAUUUAAGAAGUAAAUUGCUGUAUGUUCUCUGCUGAUGCUGAGCCAAUACUGUGACAGAAAUUCAACUAGUUAUGCACAGUACUGUUUUGGGCAGACAACAAAUAAAAUGCUCCAAAGUAGAAAUUAAUUUUUCCUAUCUUCUUUCAUUUACAGAAGUAUUUUGAAUCUUAAUCGAAGC